CCUAGUAAGCGUGAGUCAUCAGCUCGCGUUGAUUACGUCCCUGCCCUUUGUACACACCGCCCGUCGCUACUACCGAUUGAAUGGCUUAGUGAGACCCUCGGAUUGGUAUUCGAUGGUUGGCAACAGCUCGUCGUUCUCUGAAAAGUUGGUCAAACUUGGUCAUUUAGAGGAAGUAAAAGUCGUAACAAGGUUUCCGUAGGUGAACCUGCGGAAGGAUCAUUAACAAAAGCGAGUUUCUACUUUUAGAUUCUUGCUAGAUCAACCAAAACCUGUUUCUUUAUUGAUGUAUAUAAAUCAAACAUCACAUUCAUUAUAUAAUUUAAUAAAACUUUCAACAACGGAUCUCUUGGCUCUUGCAUCGAUGAAGAACGCAGCGAAUUGCGAUAAGUAGUGUGAAUUGCAGAAUUCCGUGAAUCAUCGAAUCUUUGAACGCAUAUUGCACUCUUUGGUAUUCCGAAGAGUAUACCUGUUUGAGGGUCAUUGACAUAAUCUUUAACCUUUCUUGGUUAAAGGAUAUGGGCAUUCCGCGAUUAGCGGUGGCCUAAAAUAUAUGGUCAGUCUCAUUGAGUUGAGAUGUGUAAUAAUUAUUAUUUCGCAAAAACAUUUUGAUGAGCUACCAAGUUUUGAUUCAUUCAACUAUGUUGGGUGCGGUUAAAACAAAUAAAUUUGACAUGACCUCAAAUCAGGUAAGAGUACCCGCUGAACUUAAGCAUAUCAAUAAGCGGAGGAAAAGAAACUAACCAGGAUUCCCCUAGUAACGGCGAGUGAAGCGGGAACAGCCCAAAUUUUAAAUCGAUCCUUGUGGUCGAGUUGUAAUUUGAAGAAUUACUUUCCAUAUCUUGAUCCGGUAAAAAGUCCCUUGGAAUAGGGCAUCAUAGAGGGUGAUAAUCCCGUAUUUUGUCGUGAUCAGAUGUCUUGUGAAGUGAUUUCAAAGAGUCGAGUUGUUUGGGAUUGCAGCUCAAAAUUGGUGGUAAAUUCCAUCUAAGGCUAAAUAACGGCAAGAGACCGAUAGCGAACAAGUACCGUGAGGGAAAGAUGAAAAGAACUUUGAAAAGAGAGUUAAACAGUACGUGAAAUUGUUGAAAGGGAAACGAUUGAGGCCAGUCAUGCCUGCGAAAAAUCAAUCAAUAGAUUUGUCUUUGGAUAAAAUUAUUUGAUGCACUUUUUCGCGUGGCAGGUUAGCAUCAACUUUAAUUUUUGUAAAAUGGUGGUUGGAAUGUGACUCUUUAUAGAGUGUUAUAGCCGGCUACAGAUGCAAGGAAUAAGGUUGAGGAUUGCGACAAAUGCCUUUGGGGUACAUACCUUCCUUCUGAUUCGUUCACUUUGGAACGACAGCUUGCUGACGUUUUGGAGGGCGUUCGAUCAAUAGGGUAGAGUUAUGAUAAAUUUGUCAAGGAUGCUGACGUAAUGACCUUAAACGACCCGUCUUGAAACACGGACCAAGGAG
rnacentral:misc_RNA from 1 species